UACGUAGGUGGCAAGCGUUGUCCGGAUUUACUGGGCGUAAAGAGCGCGCAGGCGGUCGUUCAAGUCGCGUGUGAAAGCCCCCGGCUCAACUGGGGAGGGUCACGCGAUACUGAUCGACUCGAAGGCAGGAGAGGGAAGUGGAAUUCCCGGUGUAGUGGUGAAAUGCGUAGAUAUCUGGAGGAACACCGGUGGCGAAGGCGGCAUCCUGGACCGGCAUUGACGCUGAGGCGCGAAAGCUAGGGGAGCAAACGGG
rnacentral:rRNA from 1 species